CACCGCGGUUAUACGAGGGACCCAAGUUGGUACUUUCCGGCGUAAAGCGUGGUUAAGGGAUAAAGAAAAUUAAAGCUGAACUUUUUCUGCGCCGUCAUACGCACCUGAAAAAAGGAAGCCCAAUUACGAAAGUAGCUUUAAAAACCCUGACUCCACGAAAGCCGUGGCA
rnacentral:rRNA from 1 species